UGUAUGUAAUGGCAGUUAAUUUUUAUAAGUUUUUGAAGGAUAAAUUUUUGGUCAUUCAAAUCAAUACAUGAGAAUGCCAGUAUAACACUAAGGGUCCGUUUGGUUCGAGUUAUGUAAUAUUACAAAGUAUCUCGACAUAUCCAGGUAUCUUAGAUUUCGGCGUGAAAUUACUACUGAUGCUGCAUUAGCGCAUUUGGUUUAAUGCAGUAAUGUAAUACUAGAUUACAGUAUUUAUAGCAUUAAUACGUUUGGUUCAGUUUAUAAAAUUUAGUAAUCCUGACAUAAAAGUAUAGUUUUUUCUAAAAUUGCCCUUGUUGUGGUCAUUUGAAUAUUAUUUUUUUGCGGAAAUGACGAAUGGAGGGAAGGAGAUCGUGAUGAUUAUCUGGGAGGACGACGCAAUUGAAGAUGAUAGAUGUUCGUGCGAGAGAGAGAAAGAGAGAGAGAGACGUCGAGAGAGAGAGAGAGCGAGAGAAAGCGGCGUGCGAAAGAGAGGGGCAAGGCGAGAGAGAUGAAAAUAAUGCUGUUAAUUAGAUUUGGGAUUGUUGGAGGGUAAAAUUGUCAUUUUACAUAAUAUGUAGUAUUAACGGGUUUCAGUAAUACAAGAUACACGACCCCCCUCCCGUUAAUAUUUUCGAUGUAAUCCUGCUCGAUUGGUCCUGGCAGGAUUGCUUGUAAUCCUGUCAGGAUAACUCGAACCAAACGCACCCUAAGACCAUUCAUGGUUAAUCCAAAGUAUUUCUAAAUAAAGGAAAAAAAAAGCCCCGGCACGAUAAGAAUGUUGCCCUUUCAAUUGAUAGAUUGACAAAUAAAUAGACUAUUAUUGUUUAUAAUAUAUGCAUGAAUAAAUUAAAAAUGUUUGUGUGCAUAUAUUAAGAGCAAUAUUUAUCUUUCCCGUAACAUAUAUAUAACAGCAUUUUAAUAAACAAAUUAAACAAAUGGCUAAAAUUGCGAAAAAAAAAAACCUUACAAAUAUUCACUUAUGUAUUUUACCUUCUUGUAUUUUAUUUUUUUUAAAUAAAUCUAAAAUUGUUACAUUUAAUUAAUCCAUUAUUAUUACUCAUUUUUCACUAUUCUGUGCAUAAGUUAUGUAACACGGUUUAUGGAAUAAGUUACUAAAUACCAUUAUAUUCUUAAAAAAAAUAAAAAUUCUUAUUUUUUGUCUGAAAUAAUUAGAUAACUUUACAAAAUAUAUCCCCUCCUAUUUAGUAAUUAUUAUUUUUCGUCAUUUAUUAAAAUAAAUAGAUAUGCCAGUAUUCUUCCACUUGCACUAUAUAUAUAUAGGGAACAUUAAUGAAAUGAUAAACGAUGCAGGAUUAAUUAAAACUAUAAUUUUAGGAUUUAAAAAAGCACAAAAGAUCUUUUAAAAAAUGAAUAUUUUUAAUAAGGUUCUUCUACGCGAAUAUUUAUAGAGAUGGGACACUGCGACACGGCUUCUCCUUUUGUAGGAUUGGGAUGGCGGUUUUGACUGGGCGACGACACCAAAUCCGACGCAGCACACCAGCACACCAAAGCAUCCAAAGCCAAACCCCUUCUCCCCUGCCCCCGAAAUAAGGGCUUGGACACGCACAACCCAACAAACAAAUCACAAAAGCUAAUUUACGCCACGCUCCUCACGCCACUAUUUCCAGGCUAGUUUAUUUUUUAAUUUUUUUUUUUAAUUUGAAGCUUCAUCCUAAAAUUAAUUAAAAAAAAUAAUCUUUAAUAAAAAUAAAAAAAAUUUGAUGGGAUAAGUAAAAUAUUAAUAAUUUUAGAAUGAAAUGGAUGUAAGAUAUAUAUAUAUAUAUAUUUUAUUGCGGGGUGUAUCAGUAGAAUUAUUCGUAUAUUCACCUGGCUUGUAAGAUUAAUUUUAACUUUAAAAAAAUGUUGGCAAAGUUGUAAUCAAGUUGUUUCUUCACCUAAUUGAACCCCUAAUAAUAUUAUUUUAACUUAAAAAAAGAACCUUGAUUUGAGGGACUAGAGUACAAAAACUUAAGUUUAGUGAAAUCAGAAAACAGGAAACUCCCUCUCCCGGUCAUGGGGCCCCAUUAAUGCGAGCAAGGCCCAUCUCCACCGUCCAUUUUAGUGGCCCAUCCGUGGCGCAGAGAUGCCAAAACAAAGCCGAAAGAUUCUCCGCAAAACAACGAAGAUGAGAAGACUCAUGAUUUAGAGCAAAAUAAAAUAAAAUAGGAAUUCAACAUGCCUUUACUCUUUUGCUCUCCAACUGAAUGAAGUGGGUCUCUUUAGUUCAUCACUUGCGCACACAGGUGUGAAUAAGAGAGAGAAGGUGAGUUUGUUUUUGACCUCUCCUUUGAGCUCUUCCUCCUCCACCCUCUUUCUCUCUCUCUCUUUCUCUUUCUUUAAUUUCUAUUAUUAUUAUUAUUUUUUUUUUUUUUUUCUUCAUAUUAUAUUUGGACAUGGAUGAGGAGGAGGAGGAGGAGGAGGAGGAGGAGGGGGAGGGGGAAGGGGAGGAGGAAAUGGAAGAAGGGAGCUUCUUGGAGAUGCUGGGGUCGGGGGAGGACGAAGGGGGGCAUCUCUUAUGCUUACCCGGUGCGCUCUCCUCACCACCACCACCACCACCACCACCACCACCCUCUUCUUCUUACUCCUCCCGCAUGCUGUACUUUGGGGGACAUGUCGAUCCAGGGGAAGCUUUAAUUCCUUUCCACGCGCUACUUCAGCAAAAGUCCACCGACUCCUCCUCCAUCUCUUCUCUCUCCUCUUCUCCUCCCCCUACUUCCACCACCACCGCCACCACCACCACCUCCUCCUCUAAGCCUUCAAAGGUAAUUAACUUAAUUCAUACAUACAUACGUACAUACAAACAUACAUAUAUCCUGACCUUCAUUAGUUGCUUAAUUGCAUGCUCUCUAUAUAUACUUGUGUUUAAUUUGCCAUUUUGUCGGGGUUUUGCAGAAAAAAGUGGAUGGUAGUGGAGGAAGGAGAACAUCAGCUACAUACAAUACACCCAAUAGUGUUAUUACAAGUAAGAAGCCCAAGACAGAGGCAUCUGGGGGCCAUGGAACAUUAAUAAAGGUGUGUUUUAUAUUAUAUUCUCGAUAAAGUAUCACCUUAAUAAUUUGGUGAUAAUGCUUGGUCGUUAAUUAAUGGGUGUUUUGUGCUUCAUAUAGUGGUUAAUUAAUGCAAUCCUCGUCUCUCUUUUUUUUUUGUUUUUUGUUUUUUUGUUUUUGAAUUUGGGAGAGGGGAGAGCAGGUGAGGAAGGAGAAGUUGGGAGAGAGAAUUAUGGCAUUGCAACAACUAGUCUCUCCUUUUGGAAAGGUGAAUUGCCCUCGUCACCAUCUCUCUAAUUAUUAAUCAUUUUUACUUAUAUAAAUUAUUUUUAAUAAAAUAGUUUUUACUAUGUAUUGCAUUUAACUCUGUUUCUCUGUCGUUUUCAUGGGUAGUUUAUUUUUACGAGUAUUGCUUAUAGUGCUUUGGAUGUGAUUUACGAAAGCUUAAUGCAACCACCAAGUUAUAUAGUUUGUAGUAGUAACUGGUAUUGAUAGUAACAUCUAGAGAGAGAGAGAGGGGGGGUAAAAGAAGCGAGUAGAAGGUGUUGUUUGGGUUCGAAACAAACUUGUCGCAUUGGUUUGACUUUGACUGAGCGAUUUAAUGCAUGCGAAACUAUAUAUAAUUUAAUAAUAUAAUAUAAUAAUAAGAUAAUUUUAAUAUAGAUAGAUAUAUAUGUUUGCAGUCGGAUACGGCCUCUGUUCUGCACGAAGCUCUGGGCUACAUCCGAUUCCUGCACGACCAGGUUCAGGUACCUACACAUUCAUUUAUCGUUCUCUCUCUCUCUCUCUCUCACUCUCUCUCUCUCUCUAUUUAUUUAUUUUUUUCAUUUUCAUGUUAUUAGUACUGGAGUUACCGCACAUUGUGGCAAAUUAAUACUAUAAAAAAAAAAAUUAAUAAAAUAAUAAAUUUAAAAUUUUUUUGAGUUGCAAUGAGACAUCAAUAAGUACAAAUAGUAUGAAAAAAAAAUAUAAAGAGAUUUUAUGCUACUCGUUUUUUUCUUACAAAAGCUAUUUAUUCAGAUGAUAAUAAAUCAUGUGAAUAAAUUAAUUAGAAAGUAAAUGAGUGACCAGACGAAACAUCCAAAUGGAGAUGGGAGGUGGAAAAGUGAAGCUCCAAGUUGUGGAAAGGGGGGAGAAGGUAAGGGUGAAGAAGGAAUUACCAUGUGACAAACUUAUGAGAAAUAAUAAUAAUAAUAAUAAUAAUAAGGAUAGAUUUUUUUUUUUCUUUGUAGGCUUUGUUCUCACGUGCUUUUAUCUUCUCUUUUUGAUUUGGUCUGUGAUUAAUAUCAGGUCUUGAGCUCUCCGUAUCUGCAACGCCUGCCAUCCUCUGCCUAUCAGCACGUAUAUUUAUUCUCUCUCUUUAUUUAAUUAUUAAAUAUAAAAUAUUUUAUUACAUUGAUUUGAAUUUUUGUAAAAAAAAAAGAAAAGAAGAAAUGAUUUGAGAGAUGCAUUAUAGUAUCUUGAAUUUUUUUUAAAAAAAAUACUUUAAAAGUGUUUAUAUUGAUUAUACUAUAUAAUAUAUUUUAUACAUAAUAUAUAAGCUAUAUCAUUUCAUUAAUAAUACAUAAAAGUAAUAUUUUAGAAUGUUACUAGCUAGCUAGCUAGUUAUAUUCGUUGGAAAAUAAAAAAAAUGUUAAAGCAGACGAUUCUGAAUUGAUGUCUUGUUACCAAGGAUAAGCAUGUGCUAUUUAAUUGAGAGUUCAUGUCUCAAACCUAUUAUUAAAGAAAACGUGUUGAAUAAAAAAAUUAAAGAUAUUGUUGGGUUUAUUAAUUUGUGUUUUAACUCUUAAUUUAGGAGGGGAUUGGAGCUGGUGAUCAACCAAGAGCAGGUGAUUUAAGGAGCCGAGGUCUCUGCCUGGUCCCAAUAUCAUGCACCGAACACGUGGCAAACACCAACGGCGCUGAUCUAUGGUCCCCGGCCAUGGGAAAGACCAAAUCCUCAAAGCACUAGCCCUUUUCUCUCUUUCUUCUUGGGUUUUGGCUCCAAUGUUUCUUCUCUCAUCAUUUUUCCAUAAAAAAGGAAAAAGGAUAAAAAAAAAACAGAGAGGAAGAACCAUUUUGGGUUUUAACACCAGUUUUUUGGGGUUUCUCUUGGGCUCCCUUUUUGGGUAAAGGAGCAGUUACACAGAAGAAGAACAAUGAAAAGAUAUAUAUAUAUAUAUAUAUAUAUAUAUAUAUAUAUAUAUGUAUAGGGUGAGAAGGGGAAUAGGGUAAAGCUUCUUAACUUGGAAAGUAGUGUAGUAGCAUUCAACACUGUUAAACUACUAUUAAUGCUUUGGUAAGGUUAAAGCUUGGGGUUUUUUUUGGGGGGGGGGGGAGGAGAAGAGGAGAAACUUUUGUAUGUAAAAGCGUGUCAGUGUGCAUGUCUUCUUCUGCUUCUUCUUACAUUCUUGGAAUUAUGUGGAUUGUGAUUAAUUAACUAAAGCCUAAGUAGGUCGACAUUAGCUUUAAAUCAUGUCACUAAUUAAAGGGCGGUUUAAGAUUAUCAUGUUUUGUGAUGAGUUUUAUUUAUUUAUUUAUUUUUUUCCAAGGCAUUUGUUUGUCUUUGAUCUUCUACUAGUGUUCUCUACAAUUAUGCAAAGGUGGAGGAUUUGUUUGGGUGAUUGGUGCAGUGGCUCAGCUGCACACUGUCCAAUGAGAGCAUGCCACCUUGCCAAUUAUUAUAUGGAAGAUUACAAAACACUGCAGGGCGAUAUCCUAUUUUGUACCUAUUAGUAACUUAUAAAUUUUAUAUCCUACUUAUUCAAAUUAUUAUUAUUUUGGUAGCUUUAUUAAUUUUACAUUUAAUACUAUAAGUUUUUUUUUAAAAAAAGAUUAAAUCUUUGACUGGUGGGUGUUAGAUAGGGACGCUAUGUAUAAACUGAGGGAGGGCCAUGAUUCUCUAGACUUUUCGUAAUUUGCAUAAUAAUUUUUUACAUAUAAAAAAUUUAAAGGAUAUACUUUUAUCUCAUCUCAAAAGUAUGUCCACUGACCUUUUUUUAAAAAAAAGUUCUUAAUGCUAAUGUAAUGUUCUCUCAACUAUGAAUUUUUUUUUUUUAUUUUUUUAGUACCUUUAGGACUUCUAAUUAUUUUAGAUAAUUUUUCUAUUUAAUUAAAUUAUAUAUUAUAUUAAAUUUAAUAGCUGUGUCAACUAAUAGUCAUCAAUUAUCAUAAUUGUAUUUACUAAAAAUUAAAAAAUUAGAUCAUUAACUGAACUAAUAUUAAAUUUAGUAAAUUUUAAAGUUAUUUGAGUGAAAUAAUACAAAUAAAAUAAUUAGAAGUUAAGUAAGUAUAAAUUAAAAAAAUGGUAAUAUUAUUUAUUAUUUAGCAACAUAUUUUUUCAUCAAAAAUUUGAUUUGGUAAAUCUUAUUUAUUUGCUAAAGUUUUAAUUUGUAUUUAUUUUGGCCCCCCUUAUAAUCGAGUACUAGCUUCGUCGUGUUAGAUGUAUUUUCUAUAAGAGGGUGCACAAGUUGCAUAUUUCGUGUUCUAGACAUGCACCGUGCAUAUGUUGUUCUAUUCAUAUAUAUACAUGCCUAAUUUGAUUUAUUUAUAGUUAAACACUUAAGAAUUUAUAUGGCUUAUUUAAUUGAGCUAAACCUUAUUGUUCAAAAGAUUGAUCUAGAAAACACAUGAUCAAUAAAAAAAUUUUAAUACCAGGAGAACUAUCAUAUUUAUUUAAAAUAUCAAUGCGAUAUAAGCAAUUCUAAAGAGUAUAAUUUCUGCAAGCUUGAGCUCAGCUUGUGUAGCUAACGAGAGCUGGAUAUAGAGCUUGAACUUAAGUCUAAAAUGUCUAGUGAAUACCACUGCAUUGUUUGACUCGUGGUUGAAAUUGAGAACUAAUGUAUAGUAUAUGAGUAUAAUGAUUGAUCUAAGUUUGGUUGUACGACCCCCUAGCCCGUGGUUAUAUAUAUUAUAUAUAAAACAGUACCUACAAUGGAGCAAGUUCUUCGGAUGGUGACUUUAGUUGUUCAUGUGAGUAUAUAUCUUGACGAAAGUGUUCUUGGAGUUAUUCUUAUUAGUUGCUAUCACCAAACAGCUUGAGAUUUUAUAGGUUAAUGAUAACGAUCGAUUAGGGAUAAAACAAACAAUUGUUUUGUUUCUAAGCAUCUAGUGGCCCUCAUGCUAUUAGAGAGUAUUUGUGUUUCUUUUUUUCUUUUUUUUUUUGCUCUUUCAAUUAGGAGGUGUGUGGACUUGAAAUGGACUUCUACGAUGCUGCUUUUUUUUUUUUCUUUAGAAAGGUUCAUGAAAAUGGCCCUCGUUAGGUGGCAAACAACAUAUCCAAAGUAGUAGUUUGACAAUGUCCCCUCUAAUGGACAAUGAAACCUCCAAAUUAUAGCCGAAUCUUCGGGCAUUAUUUCUGGUUAAUGAAAGUGACUCCCGAAAGGAACAUUACGAUCGUAUGUCCUUCUUUAUCUCGAAUAAUUGCUCUUAAGGACGUGCCGUGAGGCUGCCCUACGUUUCUGAUUGAACAUAGAACGGUCGGAUUCCAGCGAACUUCUAAAUCUAAUUAUAUGCAGCUCGAUAAAUCCCUAUCCUAUAAUUCAAUCCUUUUGUGUGUAAAACCCUUCUGUUCCUAACCUUAAUCAGAUACUUGAGGCGCUAAAAUGGCCUCGAUCUCUUCGAUCAUAACACAACUUGGAGUUGGUUUUUUCUUAAAAAAAAGGGGAGGGAAGUAACCUUCCAAGUACUAAGGAAAAUGUAGUUUUCCAAAAUCUGCAGGUCCCGCAAGAUCAAGUCAAAUUUAUCCUACUUCCCUAGUUCAAUAAUUGCAUGUCGUUUCGUAAUCUAAGCUAUUGAAAAGCAUGGCAUAUAGCAAAUUAUUCUAAACCUAUUUCUAACAACAUCAUUGUCCAUGUCUCCUAUGAAUUGAGAUGAAACACAAAUUAUGGGCUUCUGUAGUGGACAUCACAUUUCUGGGACCUCAAAAGAUCAGAUUAAUUUCUAAUAUUCUGAUGCAGUUGACAUGUGCAAUACAUUUCAUGUCAUUAAAGCUCGACAAAUAAACAGCGAUGUAUUGACUAGUUUUAAAGAGUUCCAAGGAGCUAAUAACUUGAUUUAUAAAUAAAAAAAAGGGGCCCAAUUCACCUUUCUUCUAAGUCUUUUUCCAUUAAGGGACAAAAGCUGAAUGAGCCCUCACCCUUUGCUUUAUUGCUGCAGAUAAAAAGCAUUUAUGCUUUUUCCUCUUGGGUUUUUUUUUUUUUUAAGAAACUGAAAUGGACACUUAUUGAAGAUACCAAUUCAUCACAAGUUGUCAUGGCAGUGGCACAAAGCAUCUCACUUCCAAAAAUAUGUCUACAUUUACUUUUUCAUAUGGGAAGCGUUUUUGGAGACCUCAAUCUCAGCCCACGGCCUACACAACCUAACAGGUACGAUACGUAAUGCAUUCAAAUCAGUUAAACCCAAUAAUAACAUAAGGUGGUGAAAUUGGUCUUAAUAGAACAGAAGCAUCAAUUCUUUAUUCACAUAUCUUUUAUUCCAUAAGGAUUAGUACUCAAUAAUGUCGUCCUUUCACAAGUAUAAACUAGUCAACUUGGCCAUCUUGAUACCAAUCCACUAAUUAAUAUUCAAUUAUCGCUUCAUAUCAUCUAACAUACUAUUUUUCAAUUCAUUCGAUUCCGUACUCUCCUUAUUCUCAGCCAAUACACCAAACUGAUAUCUCCAUGCUCUAUUAUUCUCUAAAGGCCUUACUAUUCCAUGCAUGCCCAAUUAUCAUGUCUCCCCAGAUUGUGAUGUUUACAAGAGCCAACCUAACCAGUCAAACCAUAUCACAGUGAAAAGUAACUCAAAAUCUAUAGCAUGUAAACUAUGAUACCAACAAAAUAGCACAAGCCUAUAGUAAAAUCUGGUGUUUUAUUUGGAAGUUUUUCUAUUGAGUCUUCAGAUCUCUUUUCAGUUUUUCAUUGCAUCAAAAACUUCAGAUUUUGUAAGGGAGAAACAGGAGCAAAAUGAAAUAAACACCGAAUCUUCACUUGUUUGAGGAGCCUCAAAGAUUCCACAUAGAAAUUUCACUCACCUUGGCCCAUUUUAAGUGACCUUAGUGUUGACUCUAACAAUGCCACCUACACUGAAAGGCAUCACAUUCCUCUAGUGACAAGUUAGCAACUGCACAAAGAGUAUACUUCACAAGGUAGCAAAUGAAACAUUUUCUACCUAAAUGUGAUCACUGAAACUAACCAGCUGAGUCAUAAUCUUGCAAUCAAUAUCUUUCAUUAGGAAUGAGCUUUACAGAGACAAUGCUAUAGACUAUUACAUUUGACCUCAUACUCAUGGUUCACCUGUAGUCAUUGUUGAAAAAAGUACUAAAAGCUAUAUAUCGAGCGUCAGAAACACGCUAUUAUUUUAUUUUAUUUUUCUGUCACAAGGAAAAGCAGUAUAGAAUUUGACUAUUUGGAGAGCCUAAUUGGCUCUCCAUUUUCAACAUAAAUAGCAAUUCCACUAAACAUAACUCUAAGUUAUGGGUGUAAUGUAGGCCGUGUCCACAUUUUUCGUGCAGAUUCGGGCUAGGGGCCGGGCCGGGCCGGAGCUACCUCAAAUUCGGGCCAGCCGUGCCGGGCUGGAGCUACCAACUCUCCUGCCCAGUACGGCCCUUCGGCCCGGAAGGCCCAGGUCGGGCCGAGCCGGGCCAGGCAGUGCUUCGAGUCGGCCCCUAAAAGGUUUUAUUUUUAAAAAAAUAUAUAAAAUUUAAAAUAUAAACAAAUAAUUAUUUCUAUUUUAUAAAAAUAAUUAUAAUAUAACAAAUAUUUAAAUUUUUUAAAAAAUAUAUAUUGUUUUUUUUUUUGAAAAAAAAAUGAUAGUGUUUUUGGUUCAAUGGACCAAAAUUGUCCAUCGGACCUAAACUCCUCCCAAGGUCCCCAGGAGAUCUCCUCCCAAGGCCCAAGGCAAGUGCUGCCUUGGGCCUUAGGGUUCGGGCCGUGCUGGCCCGACUGGCAGUGCUUCUCAGUCCGGCACGGUCCAAGCCCGUUUCGAGUUGUACCAGGUCGGGUCGUCGGACCCAAGAGGAGAGGCCCAACAUGGCCUUCAAGCUCGGUCUGCGCCGGGCAGCCGGACCGCCUGGCCCGUUUUACAUGCCUACUCAGUGCUAUGUAAAAUUGAAUGUUGUGAAGGAUAACAUGCGUUUAGUCCCUAACCAUGGAAUAGAAAUACUGUCAGCAAAAUAUUUUAAUUAUCUACUAGUCUUAUAAAUAUUGAAUUAUCAAUUCAUUCAUUCUUGAUCAACAACGCAUGCGCAGAUUAUUUAAUUCCCUCAAGGAGGAAAAUAUAUUGAGUACAAAUCAGCUGACUACGGCAUGCCGCAGGCCAGAAUUGCAAGCUAAUUGGCAGCAGAUUAACGGUCAGAUUUUCUCUAUUCACAGCUGAACUAUGGAUCAUUUAUUCUACGACGAAAUCAGAUUUUUCUUCUAUUCACAGAAUUGAACCAUCUAUCAUUCAUUCUACGACGAAAUGCGUGCCAAUUAUUAGAUUAGCCAUUCUUUAGAUGGCAGAGUUGACCUGACACUAAAAUAGUGCUUUAUGCAGAAAAUUCUGCACAUUGAGCCUCGAGCAUAUAUGAAUGUGCAAGUAUCUACAGCCAUACCUCACACAUUAUCAUGGAGAUGCUCCACUUCUUUGCCCUAGCAGCGCUACUCUUUAUAUUACUAUUUCUUCUCCUUCCCCGAGCGGCAAAACCCUCGAAGCCUCCGCUGCCUCCCUCCCCGAGCCGCUUCUCCCUCCCCAUCCUCGGCCACCUCCACCUCCUCCUACCCCUCGGCAAAAGCAACCCCCUCCACCGCUCCCUCGCCUCCCUAUCGUCCCUCCAUGGCGGCGUCCUCUCCCUCCGCCUCGGCUCCCGCCGCGCCCUCCGCUUCUCCUCCCGCGACGCCGCGUUCGCCUCGCGCCCCCGUUUCCUCGCCGGGAAACACCUCGGCUACGCCUACACCACCCUCGUCUGGGCCCCCUACGGCGCCCACUGGCGCAAUCUCCGCCGCAUCGCCGCCGUAGAGCUCUUCUCCCCCGCCCAACUGAGCGCUUCCGCCCAGAUCCGGGCCGAUGAGGUCGCGGAAUUGGUCAAAGCCCUAGCUAGGGCAUCCGGGGGCCCCGAUCGGAGGGUCGUGAUGAAGCCGAGGCUCUUCGCCAUGGCGAUGAACGUGAUGAUGCGGAUGAUCGCGGGGAAGAGGUACUUCGGAGGAGAAGGCCAAGGGGGCGAAUUAGGGUUAGCGGGAUCGGAGGAGGAGGCGAGGAGGUUUCAGGAGAUCGUGGAGGAGUCGUUCGCGGUGAGCGGCGCGACGAAUUUGGGGGAUUUCGUGCCGCUGCUUAGGGUUUUGGAUUACAAGGGUGUGGAGAGGAGGCUCGUGAGGUUGCAGGAGAAGAGGGAUACGUUUAUGCAGGGGAUCGUGGAUGAGCGUAGAAGAAUAAGAAGAAGAGGAGGAGAUGAUGAUGAUGAUGAUGACGACGACGACAAGGGCGAAGGAGGGAGGAAGACGAUAAUUGACGUGUUGCUGAAUCUUCAGGAAAGCGAUCCCGAGUACUACACGGACGAGAUCAUCAAAGGAGUUUUGGUGGUAAGUCACCGGUAUCUGCUGUCCCAGUUUCUUCUGAAAAUUCGUAUACAAACAACACUCUGUUUUGCAAUCUGCUUGGCGUGUUUCUCGGACGGUUCAUACCUCCUCUUGUUUUAUGGAAUAUUUGCUACUGCAUUCUUAUCGUUCUCCUACAAUUAUGCUGAGAAUAAUAGAUUUUAUAUAGCACCAAAAAUACUAUUGCAUGCGAAAGAACAUACCCAAAGUUAUGGACUAUUUUCGAGAAUAUUGAGGUGUUAGUGUAGAUUAUAACUUUUAAAAAUAUUAACUCAAAUGCAUGCAUGUUAAAAUUAAUCAUAACCGUACUGUACUCAAACGCUUGAACGGAGAAUGGUUUAGGCGUUCUGAAUCUUCUGAUCCACCCAAUGUUGCAGGUAAUGUUGUCGGCGGGAACCGACACUUCGGUGGUGACAAUCGAAUGGGCGAUGGCGCUCUUGCUGAGCCACCCAGAUGUAAUGGAGAAGGCCCGUGCCGAGCUCGACCUUCGAGUAGGCUCAGGUCGACUCGUUCAGGAAUCGGACCUCUCCGACCUCCCCUAUCUCCAAUGCAUCAUCAAAGAGACUCUCCGGCUCUACCCCGCAGGCCCACUCAUCCCAGCGCAUGAGUCCACUGAGGACUGCACUGUUGCAGGUUACCACGUGCCACGCGGCACGAUGCUACUCGUCAACGCAUGGGCCAUUCAUAGGGACCCCACAAAUUGGACCGAGCCAACGCAGUUUCGGCCGGAGAGGUUCUUGGUGGAAAGGGAAGAGGUGGAGGGGUCGAUGGUGAUGUUGCCGUUCGGGCUGGGACGGAGGAGGUGCCCGGGCGAGGGCCUGGCCAUGCGUGUGGUAGGCCUAGCGUUGGCUGCGCUGGUGCAGUGCUUCGAGUGGGAUGUCGGGAGCGAGGGCGUGGACAUGACCGAGGGGACCGGGCUCACGAUGCCCAUGGCAAAGCCGUUGGUGGCCGCAUGCAAGCCCCGGACGGCCGUGAUCCACGCACAGUUAGCUACCGUUGGUGCAGCAUGAUUGACGACCGCCUGCACAUGUUGUAUCUGCACAUCUCGUGCGUUGUUUUCACUCAAGUCUCUUACAUAUAGUUGUUGAAAUUACUUUGGUUGGUGCAGAUGAAAGAUGUAUGAAAGCAAUUUUAGAGAUCCAAGCUUGAAAUGUGAGUGAACUUUGAAAGGAUGCAGUGUAGGAGAUAUUCUGAUGCACAUCGUGUGGGCACGAAUUUUACCGGUGUUAAUCAGAUGAUAUUCUUAUGAUGUUAGCUACAAUACAGAGGGAGGAAGGCACCACCGAGUUUAUUAUAACUUCCAUUGAUAUUGGUUAAUCACAUCCUGCGCUGAAAACGUGGCUAGAUUAAAAACUAUCCCCACGGCGCUCUUCACUUCGUGUCUCACAUAUCUUUCAUGUAAACAAGAUGAAAAAAAUUUCAUCCCACACUUUGUAACCAUCUUAAUUAGGUCCCAAGAAAAAAAGAAAUAUAAUUGUUAAAUUCGCUUGUAAAACUCUUUGAAUAAUAAUAUGCAAUAAUUGCUUCAACAGGCCAGGUUCAAUCCGACCCGGCCCGGUCAAUUUGGGUCGAAGUUGGGCCUGAAUUUUUAAUUUGUGAGCCCCAAAAAUCACGCUCGGCCUUAAGCUCAGCUCGGCCUGCAACUUAGUCAGCUGUAGACUUAAUCGACGGUCGGGAUUGGCUCAGGCACUUUCCAGCUUCACGAUAUAUAAAUAAUGGUCUGUUCCUAUCCUGUUCCAUUUGAAACAUUUGCCCCCGCCAAUCUCCUUCCCUCCCACUCUCCCCGCUGCGACGCGCGCAAGAACUCCACGAAGCAGGCGACGAUCGUGUUCCACUCCUCCUCUCUUCGAUUAUAGCUUCUCCAAGAAGCAGUGGAAACAGCGGAGGAGAAGAAGCACUUUUCCGAGAAGCCGUGCGAAAAGCGCAGGAGAAGAAGCCCUUUUCUCCCCGCUUCGCCAUCGGCGGGAUCCAUGGCGAAAUACUCGAUCGCCGAUAAAGAUCUCAAUCUCGUCGUCCUCCGCUAUCUCCUUGACUCAGGUCGACCCCCUCCUCGGAAUCCCCCUUAUAGCUGUGAUUCUUUGUAGCAUCGUUGGAUUUUUAACCACCUCUUAUGCUUCUGUGGUAGUUUUGGUGUUUUUAUGCGUUCGAUUUGAUCUUCUAGGUUUGCUUUAUGUUCUUGAUGCUGCAAUUGUUCGGUGUUCUGGUUCUCUGGGGUUUCUUUCGCCGAUUUUGGUGGCUUUCUUCAAUACCUCCUCUCUUUGUGAUUUGUUACUGCUGCUGUUUGGUGUUGCAAUUUGUUUAAUUUGACUUCUCAGUAGUUCUGUAUGUUCUUGAUCCCAGUUGUUUGUUGUUUUGCUUCUCUAGGGUUUCUUUUGCCUAUUCUGGUUCCUUUUUUGCUUCUCAGGUUUCCAAGUCUCUUCUCUUGAGAAGUCAGAAAUGUUACAGAUGCAUUUGGUAACCACUCUUAGGGCUGGGGCACGUACGCUUAUUACGUACUCAUGUGACAAAUUUCAGGUUUCAAGCACUCAGCAUUUUGUUUUGAAAAUGAGUUGCGGGAGAACGGAUGUGGCGUUGAUGGAGAUACAAUUUCAUUUGCUACUCUAAAAACAAUUAUGCAAAACAGCAUCCGGCACAAAGUGUUGGAACCUAACGCGAGCAAUGUAAAUGUGUUGCAUAUUAAUAAGUUAUUUAGUACAGCAAUUGUUUGUAUUGUUUCCUUGGAUAACAUGUUUCUGUUCGGUUUUUUUGCAGUUGUUGACUCGCCAGAGUGACACUGACACAGAUGAAGACUUUUCUUUUCUCAAACCUAUGGACAUUAUCAAGGAAGAUGCUAAUGAGCUGAAAGAAAUCAUAAAGAAGAGAAGGGAGAAAGAGAAGGACGAAGUAGAGGAAAAGCAAGGUGAGACCAAACUUCAAAAAAAAAAAAAAAAAAAAAGUAUGGUGCUAGUGUUGCCAAAUUACAUAUAUGUAACGGACUAAUGUUAAUCAGUUAGUGUUGGUGCUUCGUUCAUAAUGUUGUCCAUUGCUUUGUUUUAUCAUUUGCCCGUCUUUCUUUCUCUUCUCCUCUUUUUCUUCCAUUUUAAGUUUUUCUUGCUUUAUCGUGCAGAAAUCUUGUGACCCUUUUUGUUUUUCUUUAUUCUGAGAUAAGUGUGAUUGGAUUAUAUCUUCCAUUGUAUAAAUUAGGAAAUCUGAAAUGAUAACUUUCAAAUGAUGUAUUAGGCGCCAACUAUCUGCAUCCUUCAUACCGAAAGUCCGUCAUUAAUCUGAUUCACUUGAAGGCCACCCACUUGCUGUAACAUCUAGUUAGCCCACAAUCACGUUUAGUCUAAAACUCUUUGGUUGAUGGCCAUGUAUUUUCAAUCGAGUUUUGAGCUAACUGUAUCUUAGCCUUUAGUUGAACCAGGACAUCCUUUAACAUUUGGCAUAAAAUGAUUAUUUCAUCCAUACAUGCCAAUCAACCUAUCUUUGAUCAGUGGUGUAAAGUUCUCAAUUGCCUUCUCAAGCCCCUGCAAAACAUGACAGAUGUCGCAUAUGUUUCUUCCUGUGGAGCAGUUGAUUGUAGAAGCAUAUAUGCAGUAUUAAAGUCUCAUAGCUAUUCAUAUGCGGGAUUAUGUUUUUUGACUUGUUAUAUAAGUGAGUUUUGGAAGGUAUCCACAUGCAAUUCCGCAGGUUAAGUGGUAAUAACACAAAUAAGAACUUUUUGAUGGACAUAUUUUGAAAGAUCUAUUUAUGCUAAUCAUUUUGGUUUACCAGUAUGUUAUUUCAUCUUUUGUUGCAGUUGCCUCUAUAUCUAAAUAUAAAAGUCUCACAUCACUAAUUUUUUUUAAUAGGGCUUGAACAAGCAGACAUCUCCCCUGACUCUCGCUCGUUAUCCUGCAAGACUUCUAGAUCUGAUUUGACUAUUUUGGAGGGCCAUACUUCUUGGGUUUGAUUUUCCUUCUCUUUUUUUUUUUGUUUUGGCAAAUUGUCUUUUCUCUAAUUCUCUUGACUAUGAACUUUUACUCAGGUUACAUUCAUUUUCUUUUAUGUCUGUUUAGGCCACUGUUUGUGCAUGGAGUCCAACAGAUUCUUUACUAGCAUCUGGGUAAGUAAUAGUACUCCUAGAACUUGGUUAGCAUGUAAGAGUUAGUUUAUUUAGUUUGUGUAAAUCAGUACUUCUAUUAGCAUUUUUCUGCCCAUAUUUAAUUACUUAGGUUUGACGGUGGUGCCUUUUUAUAUCCUGAUACUUGAAUUGUAACAUUACCAAUUUCAAUAAUUAUUGUUGUCCUGCAGAUCUUUCUAGCGUAUCAGCGAAGCCUUUGUUGUAUCCCACGAUUAGCAGUCAAUAUUAGGAGAUUCAGUCAUGCAGUUGCCUUUGCUGAAUUUAUUGUUCUUUAACAUCAUUUCUCAAUUUACUGAGCCCCUGUCAUGGGAAUUUGGUGCCUAAAAUUUUUUCCCCUUCAUGUCAAGUAUGUGUUAACCAUUGCAAAUUUUUGCCAAAGGUGCUAUGGGACAAGAAUACUACUUUCUAAACUAAGCCUUCUCAUAAUUGAGAAGGCGAUCUUUGCAGACUUGUUUUGUUGAUUUAUUUAGCACUUAGUCCGCAUAAUAGUUAUUCAUUUGAGUCAUUUCCAUUAUUAGGGGAUGUUCGAAGGUGAGCCAACUUUAAUGACUAUCUGGGGCUCUGAUGUGAGCACAUUGCACUUGAGGGAGAAGUCUGAUGGGAAAAGUAGUUGUUUUUUCCCAUAAACCAUCAUGCCUCACGCAGACCACAGGCAAACAGUUAUGUUAUGAUUUUUGUGGUGCUUGAGGGGGAUAUCAGUUUCUGCUUUCACUGCAACUUCAUUUCGUCUGGCAGUGUUAGGUGGUCCUCAAUAGCAAACUGAGCCUUAGGCUUCAUUCCCCGCUGAUGGAUCGACUAUAAGAAAACUAUCAAGAAUUCUGAUAUGAUUCCUCUGUUGUUGCUGAAUCCUAUUUUUGAGCUCUGUCAAAGUGGAAAGUUACUGCUACGCUUGGCUAUGCUUAUCUUUUUCUUUCUGUUUUUGCUCAAGUACUAUGCAACUGAAUGUGCCUGUGGAUGGACUUAGAUGCCCUUGUUAAUAUUGGUUAGUGCAAACCAGCUAUAAAAAUACGGAUAAAGAGGUGGAAAGAGUUGUUAUUUUUUUCACCAGACAAAAAUGACAUAGAUGUAUAGUUUUUAAAUGUUUGCCAAUGCAUUCAAUUGCAUUGAACUCAUGGAAAAACAAAAAAGCGGAAAAAAAUAUUGCAUAGCAAAACAAGGCCUACAAUAUUUUGAAUAAAGUUCAUCCUUAGCAGCAAAUAGAAGAUGCAUAUAUCAUAAUCAUAACUUGAAAUUUUAAAGUCUAUGAUUGCUGUCCCAAAUUUCUUUCUUUUAUUCAGUAUGGAGUAGUUUCCUGCUGUUCAUCACUGUGUGGUUUUUUUGCAAUUCAUUUUGUUAAGGUGAUUGUUACCUUGCUUUGUGGAUUGCUUUACUGCUACUAACUAGCUAGCAGAUUUCUCUAGAAAGCUUUUUGGGUUGUCCAUUUGUCCUCUAACAAGUAAUGCUGUUAUUGUGCAAUUGUUAGAUCUUCAGACUGGACGACUAGGAUUUGGAGAAUUCCACAUGGCCAUUGUGGAUCUGGUGAACAAAAAUCUCCUUCAAGUUUUGUGCUGAAACAUUUUAAGACUGGAAAGAUAAGAGAUGCUAGUGAGGAAAGAGAUCUCCCAAGCCUUGCUUGGAAUGUAAGUUCUCUUAAGUAUGAUGGCACUACCACCUACAUUCUGUAGAAGGCCAAAACAAUUCCUUUCAUAAUUAAGGGAAAAAAGCUUAAGACUCACCAGAACUUUGAUGUGCUUGGAAAUCACCACCCGAAGUAUAAAAAACUGAAAUUUAUGAAUAAUCAAUUUUUCAAUCAAACACUUAGCCCAAAUUGCCGUCAUGUUCUCUCUGAUUGCCAUCAACCUGUGACUGUCAUGUGAACGUAUUCAUAACAGAUCACUUAAAUUGUGAUUUGUUAGAAUCCCCUGAACUUUGGCCAGAUUACAUAUGACUACUAGUACUUUAAACUCCAUGUGCUAUUUUUUUGGUCAUGUGAUAGUUACCUACUAACGACAGUUAGAAUGCUUGACUCAAGUUGUGUAGUUGAUUAGAAUAAAUUAAUUGUUGAUUGUUUAGGUUAACUUUUUAAACUUACAUGGCUAUUUGCAAUCAGGCCAAAUUUCAAGUUUCCCUAGAGCUUUUGUCCUGUAGUUAAAUAAUACCUUUAGUCCUUUACAGUAACUUCCACCUCCAACUUGAAUUCCUAAACAUACAUAGAUGGUCAACUUCAGGCAAAUCUUUGGCAGUCAGAAUCUGCUUCCCAUUUGUGUUUCAAUUAGAGAUUAUUUACUGAUUUCUUGCUGUUUUCUGUUUCGGCAUUGUAGGGUGAUGGUUCAUUGCUUGCCACAGGUUCUUGUGAUUUUUUGGCAAGAAUUUGGGGUUGCGAUGGUAAAUGUUCGAGGAUUCCCUGUGUUUAUUUUUCUUGCUUUCGACUUUGUGCACUGUGCUUAUUAUCGAACUUAUCAGCUUGCCACAAUCAGGCAUCUAAACUAGUUCCAUUCUAUGUUUCUUUGUAGUCAAUUCUGAGUUUUCUUAGAUUGAUAAAUUUGUCUGAAUUAACUAUAGGUAGAAAAAAGGACCUUUUUAUGUGUUUGUACGGGAGGAAGAGGAUCUGUGCUAGGUGAUUUAUCUGGAUGAUUGGUCUAAGAACCAAUUUUGUGAAAAUAUAUCAUUUGCUGAUGUUUCCACUAGUUGACCUCAAUAUCCAUCAUGUGGGCACCUCCUCCCUCCAGAGAUAUAGGUUGUGCAGCUGCUUUUUCCUUUUUUUAUUGAUGUUAAAUAGAGAGAGAGAGCUACCAUUGUCGUUUUAGGCAUACUUGGCUAUAGUUACGAGGUGGUUACCAGGUUGUUACAUGUAACAAGUCAAACGUAAUUUCUCUUUCUUAAAUAGUUCUUCUUAAACUAAUGUAAGCCAUUUAUCUUUUCAAUACUCCAAUAUAUGUUAUGUUGUUACUUGCUUUUUGCCUUUUCAUGGUGUGGACUAAAAUGUGCAGGAGAAUCGAUAACAACUUUGGAUAAACAUAAAGGCUCUGUGAGUUCUUUGAAGUGGAAUGAGAAUGGUGAUUUUCUUCUGAGCGGAAGCUAUGACCGUACUGCUGUAGUCUGGGACACAAAGACAUGGCAGCGUAAGCAACGGUUCAAAUAUCAUUCAGGUAAUGCAACAAAUGCAGUAAAUGUGUACCAGUUCCUCUCAGCAUUAUGAGAAGCAGCUUUCUCUAAUAUAUCUGUACUUUUGUUGUCUUCCAGAUAAAGUUUACGAUGUUGAUUGGAUGAACAAUGACACUUUUGCCACAUGUUCAAAAGAUAGAAAAAUUUAUGUUUGGCAGAUUGGAGAGGACAUCCCUAUAAGGAAAUUCUCUGGGCAUAAGGUUCUUCAUUAUAAAAGCUCUUGUUUUCUGUUGUGUAUGCAUUAUAGCUUGUAAAAGUUCCCAUUCCAGCCUUUACGAUUUGGGUUUCCUGACCUCACACUCCAGAACUCCCUAGAAAUGUGAUUUGAUUUUACUAGACAAAAUAAUAUGAUACAAUGGCUUCAUUCUGACAAUAGUCUUAUAGAGGCAAUGGCUGCAAUCGUCUAUUAUGAUAUCGUAGUAGGUUCAUGAAAAUAAAUAUUGGCGGUUUAUCUUCCCAUAACAUCCUAUUGAUCUCUUCCAGCAUGAAGUUUAUGCUAUAAAAUGGGAUCCAACUGGCUCUUUGUUGGCUUCAUGCUCGGGAGAUAAGACUGUAAAGGUGAGUCAUAUAUAUUUGAAUAAACAACAGUAUGUGCCUGUUUCAUUAUUAUGCGGACAAGUUAAUAUCAACCUCUUUUUAGCCGAUUGAUCUUUUAUGCUUGGGUUCUUUCAACAGUUUAAACUUUUUUUUUUGACAGAUAUGGAGAAUUGAUGAACAAAAACAUUUGUAUGACUUUCGGGAGCACACUGAGGUUGUAAUAAUCUCUUGUUGAACACCCCUCUUCUACUCUUUACAGAUGAAUAUCUAAGUAGCAAGGUGGUUCUUACUCUUCCAGCUAGUGCGUACCAUUAGCUGGAGGCCGCCAGGGCCUAAUGGAGCAAACAAUUCCAAUCAGCAAGCAGUGCUGGCUAGGUAAGUUGUUCUAUAUGCAGAUUAAACAUAAUUUGAGACAUUAUUAUAUUAUGGACAUAAAUUAUCUUUUUGCAUAAUUUGGAGCAUCCACCUAUCGCUUACAGUAGACUGACUUCUGCUCACCCUGGUCACUCUGGGUCUAGUUAGGGUAGGGUAGAGUCCAAUAAUCUAAACCCCUAAUCCAACCCUAACUGUUUGGGUAGGAGGGUGAACGACCCUUGGCCUACUGUAAUUUAUAAUACAUAUGGGGUAAUCAGUAACAUGUUGGGUCACCCAAAAAAAAGAUUUUCAGAUUCAUAAGUCAUCCCAUGCUGGUUUAACCCAUUAACCCAUUUUUUCUAUAUAAUUACUAGUGUGUACACAUAAUAAAUAUCACAAGAUGAAAACAAUACUUGAAUAAAUCAGGUAAUAAGUGUCUAGUCUAUCUCAUUUCCUCCAUGGACUGGUUAAGAUAGAGGGGACAAAAAAUCUAGUGAUUGAAAUUUGAAAAUGAAAGUCUUAGAUGGAUAGGACAGGUAGCGAGCAGUUUAUUCCUCUCAACCCUACUAUCAUGACCUUCAAACAACAAAUUUUUACUACCAUUAACCUAUCAUUAAAAUUUUGGAGGCCGCAUGAAGGUACCAAAAGCAUUACUUCUUGCACUAAUCAUAUUUGUUCUUUUCACUCAGUUAUUGUGGUCUUACUUCAGGCUAUUCUUUGUUGCUGAUAAAUAUUAUGCUUAUAGAUGCUUCUCCUUGACUACUGUUGUUUUAGAACCUUGAAUUCCAUUUUCGAGUUGUAUUUAACACCAAUUAACGGAUUUCCCAUGGGGUAUCACUUGUUGCUUUGUAUGUUUAAAAUCUGUUGGCUCAAAUAUCUUGUCGAGUUCUCUAGCAGGCCCCUUAAACUUUUUGAAUUAUAUCACUCCAUAAAUCUCUGUUGCAUAUUUUGAUUUGGUGGCGGCUAGCCAUUUUUUACCAUGAUCUUUUCCUAUCAUUUUGAUGCACAGUGCUUCAUUUGACUCGACUAUCAAGCUAUGGGAUGUAGGGCAAGGAAGGCUUUUGAACAGCUUGAACGUCCACAGGUACAGCUUUAGCUACUUAUAUAAAAGAUAGUUUUUAUUUUCCCCCUCAAAAAAAAAAAAGGGCAAAACGAAACAAAACAAUAGUACAGAUUUGUUUCCUAUUCCCAACUGAUUCAUAUACAAUGCUCUUUUAUAGUAAAAAAAUAUACAAACCUCUUUAUCGCACGCCAUAGACUCACAUCAUAGUAAUCCUCAGGGAUGCAAUAUAUACCAUUGCAUUUAGCCCGAACUGUGAGUAUUUGGCAAGCGGGGGUGCCGAUCAGUGCCUGCAUAUAUGGUCUGUGAAAGAAGGCAAGAUAGUGAAGAUCCGCAGAAUGAAUGUUUCUAUUUUUGCGGUAUGUUGGAACAGAGAAGGUGACAAGAUCGCCGCGAGUUUGGCAAGCGGUGCCGUAUGUGUUGUGGAUUUCAGGUAUUAACUAGCUCCAUCACUCCAUCUACUCUUGGGUGCUUGUCAUUCCCAUUUCAAAGCAUACGCACACGCGCACCCGUGUGCGCACGCACACACACCCGAAAAAAAGAAAUAGAAAAUGGAACGUACAAGAGUUUGUCUCUUAAUCUCAGGCAGGUUCUAUAAGGACCUGUUGCUUAUUGUGGAGAUCUGUUUGAUUUGCUUUUUUCUCUUUUCAUUUCCCUUUCUGGGGAAGAGAUUGUUUGAUUAGCUGGAGUGGAUAAUUGUGCUGAUCAAUUGUUCGGCAUAGACAUUUGUUCCUCUUGAGGAUAAUUGAUAUAAAAACUUUUUGUUGCCAUGCGGAGGAACUGUAUUAACAGAAAUGUUGCUUACCAUUACACAUUCUUUGGAUGGACUGAGGUGGAUGAUAUACACUUUCUUUGGAGGCAUGCUAGCAGUGUUGCUCAAUAAUUAUUCAGUGUUUUGUUACAAAUUUUUUUAAAAAUAAUCUUAUAAAAAUUUUAAUUGGUCAAAUGAUCUUUUUAAAAAAUUUUUAGUCAACUAAUCUUGUUCUUAUCAUAGCAGAUAUGGUGAAUCGUUUGCUAUAUUUAGAAAGUGGAUUUAUUUAUCGCAUUUAAAAAGUGGUGCAUCAUUUAUUAUUUUCGAAAUAUUAUUGCUGUUUUGUAAGUGGGUUAUUAAAAUUUUUGUUUAAUUAUUAAGAUUAUCAAAUAGGUUGUUAGAAUUCUUUUGGACCGAAUUAUUUAAAUUUUUAUAUAAUUGUUAGAAUUAUAUAUAAGUUGGAAAGAAAAAACUCUGAUCGAUUUACCAUUUUUCAAUUGUUCAAAUUAUAACUUUUAAAGUAUCAAUUUCAAAAAAAAAGGUCCUAUUACAUAUCUCCGUUUCAAACGACAACGCGAGGCCAUUAGCUCCACUGGUGUGGGGUCCGAAUGAUCCCCGCUGAAAACUGAAAACUUUCUAUUUUGCUUAAAAUAAAGACGAACUAGUCCAAAAAUAGACCUAUCAGUGACAAGUUUGGGCUCGGACAAAACCCACCUAUAUAUGGGCCCGGCCCAUUAAAUACUCAAUCGACAGGCCUUCGUUGGGACUACGAUCCGGGCCAGAAGCGCUUGCACCGUCCGAUGGCCGAGUCUCGGCGAACUUCUUUUUAUUUUAAGGUAAAAAUGCAUGGAGAUUCCCCCACUUGUAGCCCAUUCCAGCAUAGGCCCUUCAACUUUCACUUUUUUAAAAAAAAAAUUUAAUUAACACCUUCCUUAACUUUUUUCUUUUUUCCCAUUUAAGUUAUUUUAAUUAACUGGACGUAGAAAUUCGAAGUGAAUUAAAUAGCUCUAUCAGAUAUUAACUACUGCAGUUUCAUUUGACCAAAAACUACAUAUAAUCAUUUUAUUUAGUAAAAUGUUAACGAAUUAAUAAAAUUUUCAACAUAUGUAACUAAAAUCACUUAAUUUACAAGGGAAAAAAAAAGAAUAAUCAAACAUAGUAAAGGGAGUCUUUAGAAUGGCAAAUAGUUGAGGUCUUUUAUUCAUCUUUAUCCUCUUACUUAUAUAUAUAUAUAGAACAUUUUUUUUUAAGAGAAAAGCCCAGCACAAUUUACAGCGAGUGACGAGAACAAAAAUCGACCUGACUUAUUAAGCGUACACUGAAAAAGUCACCACCAAGUGAGUGGAGACAACGCAUACACACCUUAACGCAAGUGUAUACAGCGAAAAAUCCAACAAACUUGGUCCCAUUAAAGAUUAUGCCAGGAUUUCUCCUUCCAAAGUUGUUUUCUCACCAGAUUUUCAUCAUAACAAAAACAGGAGUUUCGAAGUGAACCUUUUGCUUUUGAGAACAUGGGGAUAGUUUCAGCACCUUGCUACAGAAACGGCUACGCACUUUUUAUCCACCAACAAUUUUCUUGCUGCUUCCUCAGAGAUGUUUGGUUAGAAAUAAUUAAAAACAUAAUAUAAUUCGAAAUAUAUACAGUUAAAAAAACACAACAAUCACAACUACAUACAACUUGCUUUAUUGGAUGCAGUCAAAACAUUUCAAUUAUAAAUAAUUUAUUUAGUUGCAUGCGAUUGGAAAUUGCUUUUGUAAAAAUUUAUCACUUCGUAUAUUGAGCAGUGAGGAAACCUCCACCAUAGAGGGGAAAAAAAAAUUUGUUUGAAAAGUAACUACUGCAGUUGAACCGCGGUUCAUUUGAACAUAAUUUCAACUGUUGCAGUCGAACCACCUGAUGCAAUUCUAACUGGAUCGGCUAGAUUCAACUGCAUCAAACUAGAUGCUAGAUUUGAAUAUAUAUAUAUAGUUGGAACUACAAUAUAGUUAUCGCUAAAUGCAACUAAAUAGUCACUUAGGCUUCGUUUGGUUCGGAAUUAAAUAAAAACUAGUUAUUCUAGGGAUAGAAAUAAGUUUAGGGUUAAGGUGGGGUUAGAGUAAUUUUGUAUUUGAUUGAGAAUUGAGUUUAGUCCAGGUAUAAAUAAAAUAGUGUUUGUUUGGAACAAGUAGAAUAAAAAGAAUAGUGGAUAGUUAUAAAUAAAAAAUAAUAAUAUUGCCCCAAUUAUUAUAUUUAAAUUUAAAUUUCAAAAUUAAAUAAUUUAAAAUAAUAAUUUAAAAUUUAAAAUUUAAAAUUUAAAAUUAUUUUUAAAUUUCAAAUUUAAAAAUUUAAAGUUACAAAUAUAAAAUAUCAAAUUUAUAAUUUAAAUAAUUAAAAAUAAUAAUUUAAAAUUCAAAAUUUAAAAUUUAAAAUUAUUUUUAAAUCUCAAAUUUAAAGUUACAAAUAUAAAAUACAAAAUUUAAAUUUUAAAUAAUUAAAAAUAAUAAUUAAAAAUUUAAAUUUUAAAAUUUUUAAUUUUUAAUUUUUAAAAUUAAAAAUUAAAAAAUUAAAAUUUAUAUUUAUAUUUAAAUAUUAAAUAGGAAUGAGAUUAACUUAAUCCCAAUCCUAUUCCUGAGGAGGGGUGGGGUCAGCUAACCCCACCCUAAAUAGGCUAUCCCCAAAUAGACUAUCCCAGCAUAACCCAUUUGGGAUGGAGUUAGUUAAUCCCACCCCUCCAAAUUCUUGUUUGGGGUUAAAGGGGGAUAAAGAGUUAUCCUCCCCUUUAAUCCCGAACCAAAAAAAGUGGCUUCAAAAAAAAAAAAAAAAAAGGUUUUAGGCCGAAUCGCAAUUUGGAAGCAGAAUGACUAAGGUUAUAUUUUGCAGAUUAUUCCUGGCUACCGUCCCAUCCUCACUUGGGGAAGAACUUCACUCAAAAUUCUCCAUCUGUUGACAAAGAGAGAUAUUUUAGUUCCUUCCGCAUGCAUACACAAGUUGAUAAAAAGCAUCAAUUCCAGUUUUCUGGUCUGAAAAGAAGUUUAACAAACUAGAAACUCAGGUACCAUCCUCCAUUUCUAUAAAGAAACUUGAAAGAACUGUAGUUAAGAAAAUUUUGAGGAAAAAGAAUUGAUGCCUUUUGAGAGCACACAUGACAUGACACCUUCCUGAGGCAUGACCCAAAUUGGAAGAUGGUGGGAUACUACAGGAGAGAUCACUACAACUGCAUAGCAAUAAUUGCGCUUUGCACAUUAAUAGACCCCUGCGCGCAUAUUGCUUUAUUAUGUGAAAAGGAAGUAGGAUGCCUCUCCUUUUCCAUCCUGAUCAGGUUCUGACUCCCCAACAGUGUGUAUUCUAUUCUAUCCUUCCAAACUAUACUUCAAUAAAGAGUGCCAAAGUUGGCAUCAUCAUUUCAGAAUAGAAGGAAAAUAUAGAGAGAAUUGAGCUUCCUGUUUGUCUUCUCCACACUAUUUUAUUUUCUAUAACAGGAAGAUUCCGCCUGCGUGCUCUUAGUGGUUCACAAAGGCACUACUGAGACAUUGUCCAUUAUAAGACAUGAAUGUCAACUACAUUGAAUUCAUAAAAAGUAUAAUGAGUUACAAGACUAUUAUAUGUACUUUGAGUGGAGAGUGGAUACUGAAACAGGGAUGAGAAAAUAAUAAGAAGAAUAAUGCAAUGUGAUGGCAUCCCACUCUAACAUUACUAACAUACUCUUUAUAAGCUUAACUGUCGACCAUAGUAAAAAGCGCAUUGCACUACAUAAUGCACUAACCUUUGCGGUGACAGAUCUAGAGCCCUAUGCGAUAAGAUAAUUACCAUGCAGGUCGCUUCAAGCAAUUGAAAAUGAUUCUUUGUUGUGGCAAGUUUUUUUUUUUUUAAAAAAGAAUAACUGAAUGAGUCAUCUACAUAUAUUACCGAAAAACUCUUCGACAAAAUUUGGUUACCCUAGAGGUAGUUUCCUCUUCCCACUUUCCAAUAUGUCACAGCAUUUCUCUCCACUACCUCGAAACAGAAAAGAUCCAGAAUAGACAUAACGGGCAUCAGUGCAUACAGAAGCUAGUACGGAGACAGGUCUUGUUGGACCAUUAACAAAGAGGACUAUGACCUAUGCAAAAUGAAAAAUAACCUAACAAGUGAAAACGAUGUCCAAAUCUAGAGGUUGAUAUACGACAUACGAUGGUAAACACAACCAAAGCAUUGUCCAAGGAAUUAGUAACACCACGGUGUGGGCCGGCUAAGAAGAGAUAAGCAUCUAAAGAUAUUAGAUAUCAACUGAACUGACAAAGUUCUUUACCUACUGAUUCCUCUUAUAUUAAAAAAAAAAAAAGGACCACUCACAAGCUUCCCACAUGAUAAUUUGUUCCCACUACCCACUAGCUUGUUCUCCUUUUUAAGGAAAGCAAUCGUAACCCAACCGAUCCUCCAUGAUGUCUAAUACCACUUCUUUCAUUAACACUAGAAGAAUGACAAGCCUUGAAAGAGAAAAUGAAGAGAUGGAAGAGGUAUCAGUAAACAAGGAGAGAUCAACACCACAUACCAGUGAAAUUUAUACAGGUGAAGCCACUGAUAAAAACUCUCCUACAUGGUUGAAUUUGACUCUAGGGGGGAACUUAUCAUCAACGGCUACGGACUGCUUAAAUUCCCAGCUGAAAGCUGCAGCUCCUCUGAAGGUGUUCUCAUGCAACUUCUGCACAAGGAAGUUCUUCAGCUCACAGGCAUUGGGAGGGCAUCAGAAUGCUCACAAGAGAGAAAGAGGUACUGUAAAAAAAUCUAGUAAUCCACAAAGAAUGAUGAGGGGAUUACCUCUUGAUGCUGCUUUUGUACGUUCUCUACGACCUCAACCCCAUUCGAUAAUUCAAAAGGCAAGCAGAGAUAGAGGGAGUGGACCAGCGGUAAGAUUUGAUGAAACCAAAAUAGGUCUGACGGCAUUACACUAUGAGGAGGCCACAACCUCAGCAUGGCCUGGAAGUUUUCGGAUGACUUCGCAGGAAUCUUCUGCUCAAUCAACAGAGCAAAAUAAGCUAGAUUUGAGUCUUCGGCUUUGAUAUAUUUAUAAUUUAUCUAUCCGGUUCAUUUGCAGGUUGCUAAUUUACUCUUUUGCUCAGAGUUGUAAAUAAACCAUUUCAAAAAGCUACCGAAGUAGGCUUCAGUCCAACAGAUAGUAAAUUACAGUUGAAAAGACUAGUAUGAAUUCUAUGAAGACAACUGGUAGUAAAUGUAGAUAAAAGCGACAGUCCAAAUGCUUUUAGGCAAUGCAUUCUUUAGAAUGAUGUACAUCUUGAUUUACCAUUCUGCACUUUCCUCUAGUAGAGUAGAUUUGAAUACAGUCUGAAAGAGUAUCCACAUGGAAAAUUAAUUACAAAAAGUAUUGAAUUCAAGCUCCCCUGCAAUGAAGAUUCAAAACCUAUGCAACAAGAAAACAAAUAAAUCAUAUAGGAAUCUAUUUGCAUCACUACCCUGUAAUUUAAAUAGAGUACGAAUAUCCUGAUUACCACAAAUAGGCAGUAUAGAAGAUAAGUUAAUCAGAUAUUAAUUUUCCAAACACACAAGAUUACAGCAUUAAAUCCUAAUUUUAGGUGGUUUUAUACUACUAUUGUCUGAUGAAACUAUUUGAUGCUCUUUCGGCUACAUAUUAAACAAUCAGCUGCCAACAAACAUCCUAACCCCUUCCCUAUUUUGUAUACCAGAAAUGCAGCUUUAACUCGAUGGACAAAGGUCAAAGCCCCUCGGAUUUUUUUUUUCCAUCAUAAGAUUCUGCUGUUAAUGAGCAGAAGAAAGUGCAGUGCAUAAGAAAAACCCAACUUAGAAAGCCACUCAACAGGAUUUUGUAAAACUACAACAUAUUAAAUAACAUAAAAUUCUACAAAAGUUUGACUUCAUCUUGUAUACAUGCCAUCAUGCAAGUGUGAUGCAUGCAUGACCAUGAAAAUUGCUUUGAUACAACAAUGCAAUAAGAAAGGAAACACCAACAGAAAUAUCAGAGGAAAAUAGGGAGAGGAAAAGGAUAAUAGUAAGCAAUCUGUUCAAAACUGAAGCCAAAUCAAGAACAAUACCUAGCUCUGAGCAAGUGGCUUUACAUAAAUACCUGGAAGCAGAUUCCACCAUGAAGAGGCAAGCGUUGCAAGAGAGGGGGAAUUGCAAAAAGAGAAGGCGACUUGAGGAAUGUUCACACAAAGAAGAUGAUGUUUGAAUACUUUACGCAACUUUUAUGCUGAACUCAGUGUUAAUUCAUGAGCAGCUGGCUUCAUCCGCUUCUAUGAGUUUACUUGGUGGCAAAACAGCAAACUGACGCCAAUUUGAACUUCUUGGUGGCGAAACAGCAUGAAAUGCAGACUUCAUCAUUCUUCAAUUCUAAAAACACAGGGAAAAAUCACCAAAACAAGACGAGUACAUCGAUCAUACAGAAAUCGCUCAUGAAACACACUGAGAAGCUCACUUCACCCUCUGCUAUGAAUUCAGUGAUGAAACACCGUGAAAGACCGGUUUUCCGGGAACACGUCAUCUUCUCUCUCCAGACUUUUCAGAGAGUUAAGUCCAGAAAGAGGGUUGGGGUUGGGGGAGGGGUGGUGGUAAGAGGAGUGAAACUCAUCUUCCCUCUCUUGACUUUUUGGGGCCAUGUCAGAGGGGAAUCACUGCUGUUGAUCAGUUCAUAUGCUCAAAUCUUAAAGCAACAAGGAUGGUGGUGCUCCCCAUCUCACGCAGAAUUUUAUUUUAUUUUUGAAUACGCAGGAACAUGAUAGUUUUCACGAUCCAACUCAGAGUUUAGCUAUUUUCUGUGUUAUGAGUCCACAUGAUAAGGCUAUGGACAUGCAGGUUAUUCUAAAAAAUACAUUAAAAAUAAAAUUACUGCCCACUAAUUUUAUAAUAAACUCAUAUAGAGGAAAAACUCUACUAAGAAUCAUUCUAGCUGUUACAUUGUUGUGCAGUUUAUAUUGCAAGUUUGACUUGGAAAACUUUGUAACCGGUACACUAUGUGAAGGCUACAACUUUCAUUUCUUAGUUCCAUGCAGCCAAAUGAAACCUCUUUGGGGACAAAAAUACAAAGUUUCCAAAUACGUACAGUGGAAUAUUGAAUGACUGCACCAUGAGAUCUCCUGGUCGAGUACAAUCCACUCAUUUCAUAACAUCUUGGGCCUAGAUUAAUGGCCUUCAACCAUUACCUACCACUUUUUAACUUCCUCAGUUCACGUGCUAUUGCCUUUUGCCUGCUGCUGUUCGCAAAUUCUCUAGAACUUCUGCAAUCAUUUUUUAUGCCAUUGUUCGAUCCAGUUUCACAUGUUGCACCUCUAUCAGAAGAAAUAGGUGUAUCAGGAUAACUAGUUGAAUUCUCUGGUAUUUCCUCAUUGGACUCGAAGACUUUUCUUCCUCUUCCACUGGUAAUUUUCUGGUUCGGAAUGAUAAAAGCUCCACUGUUAGCAGGAUCGGUAAAGGAGGGUUCUUUGCCAGAAACUUUAAAGCUGUGACGUGCAUUCUCAAACCAUUUGCUAACCUGUGAGAGCAUAACACCUUAUAAGCAUAGCAGUAAGAGACCACAACGCAAGAGAGAGAGAGAGAGAGAGAGAGAGAGAGAGGACCUGACGAAAUGUCAGCCCUAAUUCUUGUGCCAGACUUUCCUUUUCCUCACGGGUAGGAUAUUGAUUUGCUUCAAAAGAUUCGACAAGUUUCUGGUUUGAAAGAAACAAAAAUGAGACUAGUAAAUACAGUAUUUCAUUAGCUAUUAAAAUGCACCGUGCAAAGUAGCUCCAACUAUCAACACACAAUACAUCAUCUUACAAGCUAAUCGUCUCAAUCAAGAAUUUUCAAGAACAGCAAGUAAAUGAUCAAGCAUAUGGAACAAGGGCUUAUUCACAAGGCAAGCAACUCAGAUUGGAUAGAUUUGUAACUCAUUAUCACAUUUUAGCUAAAAAAACACAAAACUGUUCCAAGAUUUGACCACAACUGAAUAUUUGUUCUGGCCAGAAAUGAUUAAGUUUAAUCUGGAACUACCUUCAGUUUUGCACAUAGGUCAAUAACUCAUAAAAGUUUACCAAAGCUGUCAAUGAUUGCCUUUAAUUGAUCAAAAAAUAAUGCUGCAGAGUAAAAAUGGUAAAGCAAUCCUUGAAUAUAUUAGUGAAUACACAUGGUAAAGAUCAAGCUCCUGCUUUGGUGAAUAUUUUUAGCAUGCUGUUAUUACAUAUGCAAUAUCUUAAUCUUCAAUAGGGCGGGGACAUCAGAUUGGCCUAGACUAAAAUCCCUAGCUUUAAAUUUAGACCAGCUAAUCCAUAAAAAACAACACAAAGCAAGAGAAUAUGCUUAAAAAAUGUCUGACAACUUCUUAGACUAGCUUAUCUUUAUCCGUAUUUUCUUACUUGAUAUUUGUCAAAAGAAUAAAUAGUAUCUGGCAUUCAAACUUAUCAACUUAAUUAAAGCAUAAGAAGGAAGAAUCUAGGACACUCAAAUUGCAAUACCUGAGAGAAUACUCGACCAUAUUGCCUUUCUCGGGAGGGAGCACUUAAAUCUGAUCUAUCCUCUUUUUGCUUGCCCUUAACCCUCCUAGACCUUUUCUGAUUCUCAGUUGAUUGAGGAGAUUCAACCGAGUCUUCUCCGUCAUCUUUUCUUCCUUUCUUCAGGAUACUCUUUUCUGACCAAUCUUCAUCUUCACUUGAAUCUGAAGAUGCUUCACCAUAGGCCUCCUUGAAAAUCAGAAGAUACAAAAACAUAAGUAUAUGAUGAACUUAAGAGUCAAGCUAGUUUUACGUAUCAUAAAAAUAAUAAUUAUAUAAUAACAAGAAAGUAGAAUCCUGUCCAAUUGAGUACUUCCCCUCUUUAUUCCUCUCUAUUUUCCCGGCAGUGACAAAAUUUUUGACCCACCUUGGAAGACUUUUCCGGAGCCGAAAAUACUAAUUUGCUAUUUCCUAUUGCUACCCGGCGAACAUAAUGCAUAGAAAGAACUGAUUAGCAAGGCCAAAUAGGAUUAACUAAAAUUAAAAAACUUAGGUGGGCUAGAAAAGCUCAAAAUUGGGUCAGAAGGGCAUAUAAUAAGGUGGCCUUGAUUUUUCACUCUCCUUUUUUUUGUUUGUAGUUAAAAGUUAUAUUGGCUGUUUUGUUUUAGGUAGUUUCACUUUUUUCUGCUGAGGGUUACAAAAAGGAUUAAUGUUGACGAGCCCAACCCAAGGCCAAACCACCAAAAGGAUAAAAAAGACCCAAUAUAUCUCCAUGACAUAUACAAAAAACUACCAACAAAUAUAUGGAUGCAUCUUACAUCAUAUAGCUUCUUGUAGUCUAAAUGCUCACGCUGUCUUUUCCCUGGAUUUGGUAAAGGACUCCCCUGGCCCAGCUCGGGUUCCAUUAUAGAUCUUUGCUCACCAUGAUGGUCGAAUGGCUUAUCGUUGGGAAGUGCUGAAACUUCAUCACCAACUGAAGCUUUGACAAUCUCAGAACAAAAUUCAUCCGAGUCAGAAGUAAAAUCCGAUUCAUCUGAAUUUGAUUCCUCUUUCUGGCUGUCUUUAUCUGGAUCUGGACAAUCGGGAUCAUAAUCGUCAUCCUCUGAAUCAUCAGAAGGUAAUCCCGUGUAAUCAUAUUGCUUGUUAGGAUUAGGGUUCGAAGGGCCUGAACCCUCAGAUGAGGCAGUGAAAUCUGAUUCAUCUGCAGAACUCGAUUCUUCUUCUUCUUCUUUGUCGUCAUCUGAGUGAGUUUUAGGGUUGCUUGGAUCAUAAUCACUGUCCUCUGAAUCAUCUGAAGGUAAAUUGGACAUAUCAUAAUUUGCAGUACCAUUGGCAAUAGCAGCUGCCUCAGGAAAAACUUUCUACAAAAAAGAGAUGUGACUGUGAGCAGAAAAACAGCUACAUAGCCCUAUGAAAAUGGGUUAAUAACAUCAGGGGCUUUCAAAAUAGUCGUCAGACCCUUAUAUUGGUACAAUCGGCUCCCAAAGUUUUAAAUUCUGUUGAAAUCUUGAUCUUUCCAGUAAUUUGCUUUAUCAAGAUGGACAGAAAUACCCAAGUAAUCACCAUGUAAGUGACUUUUCGGACUUCUCUUCGGGUGAUUUCUUAGGAAUUGCAGUCCAAUUUAAUGCAGGAAGUUAACUGAAAAAUGAAAGGUAAAACUGAAUGCCAAUUAUGGGACCCGAUUGUAAGAACCUAAAUUUUGGUGACCAAACCACAAACUCCUAAAAGUUUGGAGAACCCUGGUGUGAUUUACCACUUUAGAAAUUGUACCAUGAAUAUGUACAUCUCAGAAAAAAAAAAAAAAAAAGAAAAAAAAAAGAAAAAAAAAAAAGAGAAGAAAGUGAUCAUUCCACAAAAGGUGUAGGUUACAAGAUAAGGUUUUUUUUACCUCCCAUGAGUCCUCAAUUGUGAGAUCACUUCCUUGAGAUUCGUUAAGUAAGUCAAUACAAUCUACCUUGCAAUCGCAUGCUGGGCACAACCACCCUUCAUCCCCUGGAGGUACUGGGAAAAAGCAUUUAAUUAGUUAGUUCUACUUUUACAGUGCUUUACUACUGAAGCUAUCACUCUAGACUAAUAGGAUGGAGAACUCCUCAACUGCAGGCCCUUGUGUAUAGACCCCUUAACUUUAUUUUAUUGGUUGAUGGCCCCUCACCUCUUAAUUGCCUUGAUUUGAGUUAUUCUGUUGGCUAAAUUGGGGAUUCAAUUCAAAUUAACGGUUCCAUUAGCUAUUGGUUGUGAACAAUUAAAUCAUAAAAAGAAAGUCAAAGUUCCGUCAGCUAAAAAGCGGGUAAAGUUAUUCAAUGUAACGAAAUCACUGUUACAUUUAGAAGAAUCCCCACUACUGCAAAUCAGAAUAAGCAAAAGUUGAGGGGUUCUUGGAAACAGAUAAAUAGAAGUUCAGGACUCUAUUUCAAAAUGGCCUAUAGUUGAUACGGUCGCCAUACACUUUUACCAACUAAGUGGUUGUGAAAUAAGAAGAUCAUGAAUUACUAUUUUCAGUUAGUAAUGGCGGAUUCAAGCACUUCUGAUGAAACCCUCUUUCACACGCUCCAUCACAAAGGAUGAUAUCAUUAUUAACAGAUACAUCCUUUGAACCACAUUUGGCACAAAAUAUCUGCAAGGAGAUGACAAAUUGCCUUUUAUUAAGGGUAUUCAAAGUAAAAUUAAUCCUCCGCUCCAGGAAAAGAACAUGUACAUUUGAUUAGGGCGAGCGAGGUCACAUACAUCCUCACUGGAAAUUUCUCCCUCUGAAUCGAAUAAAGACUCGUCGAACUUUCCCUCAGAGAUUAACGUAUCUAGAUGCUUAAAUGUAUCGCGUAAUCUCAGCUUACACCGAAGUAUUUCACUCUUAGCUCGUUCAAGCUCUUUCUCAGGUCUAAUCUUCUCCAAGCUGCAGUUUAGAGAAACAGUUAUGAACUGUAAAAAAGAAAAAAGAAAUUGUCGAAAAAGCAUUUGGCAACGGAAUAGAAAUAUGCUCAACAGUUAUAAAAGCACAUAAAAGUGACAGGAUGACACGAAGAUGCCCUCAAAAUGUAAGUACAUGGAAAAGCAGCAAAUGCAGCUGCACUCACUAAAGCAUAGAAAAUGCUUCUUCUUAGAACAUCAACUACAAACAAACCGCAUUUAUUGGUUUAAAACGAAAUUUCAGCAUUUUAUAAUCAUGAAGGUAGAUAUUAUUCUAUGCAAUCAUGAACAGAGUGAAAAGAAUGUAUAUUCGUGAUCCGCAAUUUGAGUUUACUUGCUCAUGCAAAAACUCCUAGGAUCUCCAUACAUUUCAACACUCGAGAACAGCUCAAUGUAAACAGCUCUAAAGAAGCUCAACAGGGCUAAGAACUAAAUAAGCCAAAUAUAUCUUUGUCAAGCAGAAUAACUUCAUAAUUUCCCGUUUAUAAAGUACUGUAACAUGUUGUAUAGCUUUAAUGCGAACUAUCACUCACCUUAAAAUAUUAAAACGUGAAGAGAUUAUAAACAUGGACCCUCAUGCAAAACGUUAGAUCUUAGGAUUCAGCAAUUUUCUAAAGAGUAACAAUAUAAAGCAUAGGACAAAGAUUGCACAGAGUAUAUCAUGGAUGAAAUCUUUGAUUGGCAAAAGCAUACCUUUGUCCUUUCCAUCCUUCGCCAGAAUAAGCAUCAAUCAAGUUCUGCUCGUAGUUCAUUCGCGUCAGCAAGUAUCUUAUUCUCUUCCUCGUUCUCGAUAACUCGUCGUUUGAAGCUCUCUUUGCUCUCCCCCUCUUCGCUCUCCUCUUUACUACCGGAUUUACGGAAGAACUCGGUGUUUCAACGUGAGUCUCGCUUUUCCCAUUCAACAUAGAUCGAAGAACUCUAACACCAUCCAUAGAAGAUCGCAAAGGAUAUCUUCUACCUUGGAUCUUUUGAGAAAGUUUCUUACGCUUCCGUACUGCUUUCUUGGAGUUCUUUCUUGCACUCAUGUCGGCUUUUUCAGAUCCAGAUGCAACUUUCUUGCCGAGCUCAGCUUCUUUAGCGUGUUUCCCUUCGUUGACGCGACCAAGCUCCGCAGAUUCUUGAAUCGCACAUUCUAACUUACAAUCUUGCUCUGGAUGUUUUGAGCUCUUAUCCGAACACGAAUUUACUAGAGGAACAGCAGCAUUGUCCAUUUGCCCUGCAUGAGAUAGUUCGUGCUCACAAAAUUAAUUCCACAGAAUAUAAAUAUCUAUGUCUAUACCAUUCUUAUACGCAAAAGUGCUUAGUAGUUAAUUGUCACUCCUCUUUUAGUAGUUCUUGCUAUUUUACCAACCUUUCACAUACUACUUAUACGUUACUGACACAAAAAAGGGGGAAAAACAAAAGUAAGGAAAAUAACUACACUGGCAGAUAUUUCGACUUAGUCCCAAGAACCAAGAAGAUCAAAGAGAGUCAUUUUAACCUAUGAAAUGAUCUUCCUAACCUUCUUGUUUCAGAUACGCUGAGAAAAAAUGGAGUCAUUUUACGAAAAAGAUCGAGGAAACCUAAAAGAAAAUGACACUCUCGCAACGAACAACAAAGAAAAACACAAAGAAGCAAACCAAAAAAAAAAAAAGAACCGAUUAAAUCUACAAAAUUACCCAAAAACACCAAAAAAAAACAAACGAGAAGGGUGGAGCAAUUACCGAUCCUACAUCCAGAUAAAGAUGUGUAAAAUAGAGGUUGAGAGGAGAAGAGCGGAAACAAGAAAGAAACGAGUUAUCGAUCGAACGAGGAGAGCGAGAGCUAAAUUUAGUUCGGUUAGGGUUUGUCGCAGGACGCAAUUGAGCCUAUUUACGACCCCGCCGUUUGGAUCAGACCCAACCAAACUGAGCAAACCUAUAGUAAAGUUUUGUUUGGGAUUGCGGUGAGAUUGCAUUACGUGCGGUAAGAAACGACGAUGAAAAAAUACCCUAUUUGUUUCCGUACGUUUCGCAUUUUGCAGUUAGUCGGUUACGAUAUAUUUUCUGUAGUUCCACCAGAGAACGCAGAAACAGAUCACUAUAUGCUUUUUUUCAAUCCCAUUCUAUCUAAUAGCGUUAGAUAGACCUCAAUGCCAAACUAAGCCUUAAUUGCUUCAAAAACAGUAUAAUACCAUGUGACCGCAAUUGAUCCCAAGUCUCUCUCUCUCAAUAUAUAUAUAUAUAUAUAUAUAUAUAUAUAUAGAAUAUAGGUAUAAAUAUGGCAAAUAUUAAGAUGGUAAAUGUUGGCUACAUAAUUUUAAUUUGAUGCUAAAAAAGUACUGCAGUUUAGUUGGUCUGUUUGAUCUGCACAGUUUUUUAAUUCAUGAAAUCAAAUCGAGAAAAAUUACUGAUAAAAUUAAAAUUUUCAGCUAGUUAAAUUAGUUCAGUUGGGUCACUCGGUGUAGACCAAAUAGUACUAACACCUAAAUAGAAAACCACUCUUGUGUCUUCUAUUAUUGUAAGAUAUAAGAAGAAGAAGAAAACAAAAUUUUUAAUCCAAAAGUUAAAAUUUCAAAUUAUUUAAAACUAAAAUUUAUAAAAUGUGAAACUGUAAUAAAUUUAAAAAUUUAAUUAAUAUCUUUGCGGGAACCGGGGAUUCCGGUGCAAAGGACACUUGGAGGGAACUAGUGUGUCUCGGUUCUCGAGUUGAAACAAUAAAGGACACCUUAAUUAAAUUGCGUUAAUUACCUCCUUAUAUUUUACAUUUUUACUACUAAAAAAUAGAACUAAAAAUUUGAGAUGAUUAUUAGACUUAUUUGAGAAACUUCAUAGAAAUAAAUUGGCAAAUAAAAUUUAUAGAAUUAUAUAAAUUGAAUAAAAUUAUUCAAUCAACUAUUAAUUUUUGAUAGUAUUAACAAAAUAAAAUAUCUCGUUUAUCUAAUUUUUUUAUUUAUUUUUAAUUAAAAGUCAGAUAGAUAUUGAAAUGUAAAAUAAUAUGAUAUUUUUUAGAAGUUUCACAACUUAAUUUGCUGAAAUCUUAAAUUCUUAGACCUAUUUGAAACAAUGACAAAAUACAGUAGGCUAAUCAUUUCUCAAAAAAAAAAAAAAAACAGUAGGCUAAUCAAUGCAAUUUUUAAUGCAAAUGGGUAAAUACAUAAAUUGUAAGGAAAGUUUUUAUAAUUUAGCUUUAAGGGCACGUUUGGUUCGCACUAUGAAAAAUUAGUAGGAGUAAAAAGAUAUCCGAAAAUCUUAUUCCUAUCCAUCAUAUUAGUAAGAAUGUGGCAUUCAUGUGUUUGGUUCGCACGGUCAUAUAAUUUAGUCAUGUUAUUUAAUAUUAUAAAAAAUAUACAAUUAAUUUAUUUAUUUCUUUAAUUAAUUUUAGAUAAUGCUACCAAAAAUUUCAACAUCUUUUUAGAAAAAAUGGAGAGAAAAUAUAGGUUAGAGAGAGAGAGCAUAAUUAAAUAAUAGGAAGAGAAAUAGAAUCGAGAUUAAAGGGAGUGAGGGAGUUGAAAUUUUAGAAAAAGAGGGGGAGAGAGAGCUUAGUUUAGAGAGAGAAAAAGAGUUGAAAUUUAGAGAGGAAAAGAUAAGUUUAGAGAGAGAUAUGAGGUUAGAGUGUAAAGGAUAAUAAUACUAAUUAGCCGGCGGGUAAGGAGAAAGAAAGAGAUUAGACAUAUUAUGAUUACCUAAUUUAUUAAUAUGAGGAUACCCACUCUCCCGCAAGGGAAUGAGAUUAGUACUUUGGGAUGAAUCUCAUUCCCAAGUGAAUCUAAUAUUACCAACUAGAUUACUUAGUGCCUUUAGCCAAACACCGUCAUAUUUUUUUAUUCCCAUUGCAUUAUUAGGAAUCUUAAAAAGAUAACGCGAACCAAAAGCACCCUAAAGAAAAGGUGCUUAUGAUGGUAUGGAAGAAUCCAAAGAAUUUACGAGGAGAAAU
rnacentral:lncRNA from 1 species